rnacentral:rRNA from 1 species
UACGUAGGGGCCAAGCGUUGUCCGGAUUUAUUGGGCGUAAAGAGCUCGUAGGCGGUUGGGUAAGUCGGGUGUGAAAACUCCAGGCUCAACUUGGAGAGGCCACCCGAUACUGCUCUGACUUGAGUUCGGUAGGGGAGUGGGGAAUUCCUGGUGUAGCGGUGAAAUGCGCAGAUAUCAGGAGGAACACCGGUGGCGAAGGCGCCACUCUGGGCCGAAACUGACGCUGAGGAGCGAAAGCGUGGGUAGCAAACAGG